CCUGGACGUCCCGUCCUGUUCCCCGGAUGAGAGGUGGACGCGGUUCCAGAAGCGCCAGGACCAGUUGAGGUAGAAGGUGGAGGAACCAGAGCUCGGCUUCAUCUCCUUCUUUAGAUUUGAUGGGCUGAGCUCCCUCUUGUAUCAUGAAGAUAAAGGCCACACUUCAGUGUGAAGGAGAAAGCUAGAAGCAGUGUGGAACAAAGACACAGCUUAGCUGCCAUAUCUGCCCUGGACAUCUAUACAGGUACUAGAAGGCUCAUUGAGAUUUCCUGUGGUUUAUGACCCAAGUUGACAACUGUGACUUCUUCUUUGUGGCGUUCUGAUGGUUAUGUCAUAUAAGAAGCACCUUAUAUCAUUUGAGGAGCUGCUGACACAGAGCACUGGUUUGAUGGAUGACCUGAGCUGCCACUAUUCCCUCAAAGAGAUAUAGCUCCUGAGAAUGGAUGCAUGGCCAGUGAAUUUUUGGAACUUCUCCAUCAUCCUGGUCAUUGGUAUCACCUGCCCUCCAGGAAGCUGAGAGGUUUGUGAAGUAUCAAUAGGCCAAUGAUCUCCCAAUUACAGAAUCCAACUGCUUCAACUCUAGCAAGGUCUAGCUGCUGUUGGAUGAGGACUGACCAAUUGUGUGGUGGGGCUCAGGAAGCACCAUCCUCCCUGCCCCCAUCUAGCAUUGUACCUUCUCCUUAGAACACCUAA